AGGUCGUAACAAGGUCUCCGUAGGUGAACCUGCGGAGGGAUCAUUAACAAAGCAAGGUGUUCAGGAAAGAGGCGACUGCGUAGCAGGAGCGUCUUUUCUGAAUUCCCAAAAUCAUGUUGCCACCGAUGGUUGGAUUUCAAUUGUUGGUGGCACACAUACAUUCACAUUUCAACAACAACCACUACAACGAUAAACAAACAACAACUUUUAACAAUGGAUCUCUUGGCUCUU
rnacentral:misc_RNA from 1 species